GAUUCCUAUGAUUAGUAUGGAUUCCUCUAAGUUCUGACAUAAGGCAUGCCUCAUUCCAGGGUAAAGGAGGUGGCUUCCAACCUUCUGGAUACUUUCCUUUUUUCUCAGGCUCUUCUUCUACUUCUGCAGUGUGAAGAUUGGAUUUAGCUCUCCCCUGAUUAUAACAAUAAAGGGGCUAUCACUUCCUGUGAGACUCAGUUCUUCAUUUUUGGAAAUGGAGACAUAAUUCUGGGAUCCGAGUUCAACUUGGACUUCUACUUCUGCUGGAUUCAAUUCUUCAUGCUUUCGAGUUGAGGCUGGUGAAGAGGGACAGAAGAAUCUACUGACUAAACUGACACUUGAUCUGAUAGCGGAGGGGACCCUACAGAGGAGGUUGCCCUUGACUGCAUCCCAGACAUAAGUGAAAGUCCUCUAGCAACAUUCAUAGCUCCUUUUUGGGAUCUAAGAUACUCCAGCAUACCCCAACUCCUUGAGCUACACGGAUGGGGAUGACAAAUCCUUCCAGCAGCCCUCAAUUCCCUGAUCUACAUAGAAAUGGAUUGGGAUCCUCUAGCACCACUCCUGGCUCCUUCCUCGACCUCUGACAGAGAAGCGAUUCUCCAGUAACAUCCCUAAUUCUUUCCAGCCAUAACUAGGUGAGGGAGGGGUCUUUUAGUACUUGGGGCUCCUCCAGUAACCUCUGACCUUGGAAGCACCACUUAUUUUCUGUCUACACAGAAGAGGGGAGGGGCGGACAGGUAGCACACCCACACACACAAACGCUCGUUACCCCGUGGCUUGGGGCAAAAGACUGAAUACUGGCUCUAGUGCCAGAGUCAGAGUUCGAAUCCUCCCUGAAGCAGUUAUUGUGAAGUUCAAAUGAGAUCACAUUUAUGAGGCCUGGAGCUUAGCGCCCAGCACGUAGUGUAUUGCUAAAUAAACACCGGUUCCCUC